CUGGGAGGAACUCUGUUUCAGACUCUCUGUUCAGCACUGGCCAGGAACCUUUUCAGUCAUGGGUCCCCUCACUGAUCUAUGCUUCAUGUUCAUCGUUUAUUUCUGCACAAGACACAACAUUUACCGUUACAGUCGGGCCUUUGUAUCCUCAAAUCCACAUCGAUGGAUUCAACCAAAUGCAGAUAUUUUAAAAUCAGUAAGUAAAGAUGUUUUAAAAGUGUGUCUAUAUUGAAUAGGUACUGAUUUGGUUUUUUCUGUCAUCAUUCCUUAGUACAACAAUACAAGUAUUUCUAUCACAUCUAUAUUGUAUUAUGAAUUACACAUCAUCUAGAA
rnacentral:lncRNA from 1 species